rnacentral:lncRNA from 1 species
UAAAUACAAAGAGAGCAGUAAAGAAAGGCAUCACCAGAAGACAUCCUGAUAAAGAGCUGCCUGCCUGCCCUGUGACAAGCCUCCAGGUGAGCCGGGCUGCCAGUGGUAACUGCGGGUUCCGAAUGGGACGCUAGGGGGCGUGUUGCUCCGGGCGGACUGCACAGGUUCCCGUGAGGAGCCGGUGACCAAGGAGGAGUAGAGGACAUGGGACCUCACUUGAGAAAAUAAGCAACAGCACUUACUACAAAGAAGCUUUGCUUUUGCGAAUUCACGCCACGAAGUAGCAAAACUAUUCAAUGAUCCCCCAUCCCAUGAGCAACACGGCCACCUACAUGAGGAGCUAAGCCAUGCGGGAGGCACAGCAAAUCUGUCUAUUCUCAUCAUAGGAUGGCAAAAGAUUAUGAAAUAUGUAUCAAGUUAUGUAGGAUGACCUCAAGAAAUGGCAAUGAAUAAAAAAAAAAUUGUGAGAAAUCUCAAAACCUUGGCCGGCAAGAUGGCUCAGUGUCUACAAACAAUUGCUGCUCAAGUCUGAUGGCCUGAGAUGGGGGCCCCAGAGCUCACGGAAACACCAAAGAGGAGGCAGACAUCUAUAAUCAAGCACUGCUAUAGGAAGAUCGGAGACAGGGACAGGAGAAUCAUCCAGAAGGUCGUGGGCCAGCCUGGAGUCCAUGAACUGGCAGAAACAAG